rnacentral:snRNA from 1 species
GUGCUCGCUCCAGCAGCACAUACACUAAAAUUGGAACUAUAGCGAGAAGAUUAGCAUGGCAUAUGCACAGGGAUGACAUGCAGAUUCAUGAAGCAUUCCAUGUAUUU